rnacentral:rRNA from 1 species
AACGAACGCUGGCGGCAUGCCUAACACAUGCCAGUCGAACGAGACCUUCGGGUCUAGUGGCGCACGGGUGCGUAACGCGUGGGAACCUGCCCUUAGGUUCGGAAUAACUCAGAGAAAUUUGAGCUAAUACCGGAUAAUGUCUUCGGACCAAAGAUUUAUCGCCUUUGGAUGGGCCCGCGUAGGAUUAGCUUGUUGGUGGGGUAAUGGCCUACCAAGGCGACGAUCCUUAGCUGGUCUGAGAGGAUGAUCAGCCACACUGGGACUGAGACACGGCCCAGACCCCUACGGGAGGCAGGAGUGGGGAAUAUUGGACAAGGGGCGAAAGCCUGAUCCAGCAAUGCCGGGUGAGUGAUGAAGGCCUUAGGGUUUUAAAGCUCUUUUACCAGGGAUGAUAAUGACAGUACCGGGAGAAUAAGCCCCGGCUAACUCCGU